rfam:Lupinus angustifolius cultivar Tanjil chromosome LG06, whole genome shotgun sequence.
AAACCAUAUGAUGAAUAUGGAUUUACAUUUUCUCAUGACGGUCAUCUGAGAUUCACUAUGAUGUAAUCAUCCAAUAUUUCUGAGUGGUU